AUACGGAGGAUGCAAGCGUUAUCCGGAUUUAUUGGGUUUAAAGGGUGCGUAGGCGGUUUGCUAAGCGGGAGGUGAAAUGCCGGCGCUCAACGUCGGAAGUGCCUCCCGAACUGGUGGACUUGAAUGACUCUGCCGUGGGAGGAAUGUGUAGUGUAGCGGUGAAAUGCUUAGAGAUUACACAGAACACCGAUUGCGAAGGCAUCUCACGAAGGGUUGAUUGACGCUGAGGCACGAAAGCGUGGGGAUCAAACAGGAUUAGAUACCCUGGUAGUCCACGCAGUAAACGAUGAUGGCUAACCGCUGGGCUUAUCAGUUCAGUGGCCAAGCGAAAGCGAUAAGCCAUCCACCUGGGGAGUACGAC
rnacentral:rRNA from 1 species